rnacentral:rRNA from 1 species
GUACACGCUGUGACUAGCAUAUCAAUAAGCGGAGGAAAAGAAACUAACAAGGAUUCCCCUAGUAACGGCGAGUGGAGCGGGAAGAGCUCAAAUUUGAAAUCUUAAAGGGUUUCCCUUUACGAAUUGUAGUUUAAAGAAGUGUUUUCUGUUGAGGUUUUGGUAAAAGUUCUUUGGAAUAGGACAUCAUAGAGGGUGAGAAUCCCGUAUUUGACCUUUACUUUCAACUUUGUGAUACACUUUCAAAGAGUCGGAUUGUUUGGGAAUGCAGUCCAAAAUGGGUGGUAAAUUACAUCUAAAGCUAAAUAUUGGCGAGAGACCGAUAGCGAACAAGUACCGUGAGGGAAAGAUGAAAAGAACUUUGAAAAGAGAGUUAAACAGUACGUGAAAUUGUCAAAAGGGAAGCGUUUGACACCAGUGUUGUUUUUCUGAAAAUCAAUUAAAGAACUGUUUAUGCUAAGCUGUUUAGACUUUAUCAGCUAAUCUGUUUAGUUUUGAGCUUUUCUUUAAUGCACUUUUCAGUUAACAAGUCAACAUCAAUUUCUUUUGCUGUAAAAAAGCUUGAGGAAGGUGGCUUGAGAUUCGUCUUAAGUGUUUAUAGCCUCUUGCCUAUGCAGUCGGAGAGAUUGAGGUCUGCAGCGUAGAUCCUUCGGGGCUAAAUGCAUUUGUGCUAAGUUAUAGCAUUUUAUAGACAACUUGUUGACUAUGAUUUGUCUUGUAGCUUACUCGCUUAUGUUAUUUUACCUACGCUUAGGAUGUUGAAGAUGUAGCACAUCAU